rnacentral:rRNA from 1 species
UAACAAGGAUUCCCCUAGUAACUGCGAGUGAAGCGGGAAAAGCUCAAAUUUAAAAUCUGGCGGUCUUUGGCCGUCCGAGUUGUAAUCUAGAGAAGCGUUACCCGCGUUGGACCGUGUACAAGUCUCCUGGGAUGGAGCAUCAUAGAGGGUGAGAAUCCCGUCUCUGACACGGACUACCAGGGCUUUGUGGUGCACUCUCAAAGAGUCGAGUUGUUUGGGAAUGCAGCUCUAAACGGGUGGUAAAUUCCAUCUAAAGCUAAAUAUUGGCGAGAGACCGAUAGCGAACAAGUACCGUGAGGGAAAGAUGAAAAGAACUUUGGAAAGAGAGUUAAACAGUACGUGAAAUUGCUGAAAGGGAAACGCUUGAAGUCAGUCGCGUUGUCCGGGGAUCAGCCUCGCUCCUGCGUGGUGUACUUCCUGGUUGACGGGUCAGCAUCAAUUUUGACCGCUGGAAAAGGACUUGGGGAAUGUGGCAUCUUCGGAUGUGUUAUAGCCCCUUGUCGCAUACGGCGGUUGGGAUUGAGGAACUCAGCACGCCGCAAGGCCGGGUUUCGACCACGUUCGUGCUUAGGAUGCUGGCAUAAUGGCUUUAAUCGACCCGUCUUGAAACACGGACCAAGGAGUCUAACAUACCUGCGAGUGUUUGGGUGGAAAACCCGAGCGCGCAAUGAAAGUGAAAGUUGAGAUCCCUGUCGUGGGGAGCAUCGACGCCCGGACCAGAACUUUUGGGACGGAUCUGCGGUAGAGCAUGUAUGUUGGGACCCGAAAGAUGGUGAACUAUGCCUGAAUAGGGUGAAGCCAGAGGAAACUCUGGUGGAGGCUCGUAGCGAUUCUGACGUGCAAAUCGAUCGUCAAAUUUGGGUAUAGGGGCGAAAGACUAAUCGAGGCAU